CAUCUGGGUCCUGGGAUACUGAACCUGUGUCCUCUGCAAGAGCAGCAAGUGUUCUUAACGACUGAGCCAUUUCUUCGGCCCUCUUUCUUCAAUUCUCCAUUGUCCUGCUAGAAGGCAGAAUGACUUCGUCGACAACCUCAUGCAGGAGUGGAACCAAUCUCCUUCCCCGUGGGUGGCUGGGCAUGUAGCUUCCUCUUUCUGUCUUGAGUGUUGCCAAGGAAAAGGGGCUGCAGAUCUCCCCUGGAUUGCAGAGUGGGAGACAAAGCAAGGGCCCCAGAAGAGCUCUCUGGAUGCUCCUGGCUACUGAAUCAACCGCAGAGCGCCCUCUGGGGCUGGGGUCUGACACUGUUACCCCUCCUGGCCUUAUGGACGCAGAUCCAGCUCAGCCUCACAAUGAAUUCAAUGGUUCCUGAAAGCUUGUGCUCGGCCUGCCCACCUUCAUCCACAGGGCAACAUGGGAGCCAGACUUCUCUCUGUGGUAUAAGGCCCCAGUAUCCUGAGUUCUUCCAGGAGAAGGAAGAUGGCGAAGACAGUGAGGGAAGAGAGCAGACGUCUGACUCCGGGGUGCUUAUCUGUGUGGAAGAGACCGGUUCUUCCUGACUGGCUUCAUGUCCCUCAAGGUGUUCUCCUGGCUCUUCAAGUAUUUACCCGUCUGUGUGUGACUCAUAUCCAGGAACCCAGGCAGCUUCCCUCAAUAGAUUGCUGGCUUCAGAAGAUGAGCCUCCCCUGCCGCUCCACAAGGCUCAAGUGCUUCAAUGAAAUAAAAGAGAACUGAA
rnacentral:lncRNA from 1 species